CCUACGGGGGGCAGCAGUGGGGAAUAUUGCACAAUGGGGGGAACUCUGAUGCAGCAACGCCGCGUGGGUGAAGAAGUACUUAGGUAUGGAAAGCUCUGUCAGUAGGGAAGAAAAUGACGGUACCUGACCAAGAAGCCCCGGCUAACUACGUGCCAGCAGCCGCGGUAAUACGUAGGCGGCAGGCGUUAUCCGGAUUUACUGGGUGUAAAGGGAGCGUAGACGGCAAGGCAAGUCUGGAGUGAAAGCCCGGGGCCCAACCACGGGACUGCUUUGGAAACUGUGUGGCUGGAGUGCAGGCGGGGUAAGCGGAAUUCGUGGUGUAGCGGUGAAAUGCGUAGAUAUUAGGAAGAACACCGGUGGCGAAGGCAGCUUACUGAACUGUAACUGACGUUGAGGCUCGAAGGCGUGGGGAGCAAACAGGAUUAGAUACCCUUGUAGUC
rnacentral:rRNA from 1 species